GUGCUUCUUCAAAAGUUAUACGCUGUGAAGAGUGAAGCGUAUUCAUUUGGAACAUUUUGAUCUGAAAAUGAAUCAAUAGAACUUUUCGUUUCGUAUAAAUAUGAAGAAAUUUUAAUAAUUUUUAUAGUUAAUCAUCAAUCUGCUGAGUUAACAAGUUUGAAAGCUAAAUAAUUCCAUAAAUCAACAUGUUAAAUUAUAUUUUUGUCCUCGUUUUGGCUGUUCUUUUUGCAAUUGCUGCUGCUGAGCCACAGCCUGAUCCUUUAAUUGGAUACACUGCUUAUGGAAUACCAGCACUUGGGGCCAGGAUUGCCGUUGUUCCCUCUUAUGGAGCAAUUAUUGGAUAAUUGAGUACAAAAAAAUACUUAAUCUGAAAUUGUCAAUAAUUGUUUAAUAAAGGACAAAAUAUCUCCAUAGCAA